rnacentral:tRNA from 1 species
GCCUUCGUGGUGUAGCGGUCAGCACGCUGGGCGCGUAUUCCAGAGGUCCGUGGUUCGAGUCCCGGCGAAGGCG